GCAGAGCCCGAGAAGAAAAGCCCCACACCAAGGCGGGGAUCUUCCGUUUGGCUGUGCACAUAGCGUUGUCUCUCUGUGACAAAUCAGGGAUAGGACGAGUGACGUCCCUGGCAAGUGUCUAGAUUGCUUCUCACCGAUAAAAUGGAGACAUUAAUAACCACCACAUAGGCUGUGUGUGAGGAUCAAGUGGAGAAUUGUUCAAGUAUUUUGCUCUAUGCCUGGCACAUAGCCAGCUCUCAAUCAAUGUCAUGCUGUUUUGAGUGGGGCGUGUGACACAACCUCCUGAGACUUCAGAGCUCUACAAUGUAACAAGUGCA